GACGUAGGGCGCGAGCGUUGUCCGGAUUUAUUGGGCGUAAAGAGCUCGUAGGCGGUCUGUCGCGUCUGCUGUGAAAACUCAGGGCUUAACCCUGAGCUUGCAGUGGGUACGGGCAGACUAGAGUGCGGUAGGGGGAGACUGGAAUUCCUGGUGUAGCGGUGAAAUGCGCAGAUAUCAGGAGGAACACCGGUGGCGAAGGCGGGUCUCUGGGCCGUAACUGACGCUGAGGAGCGAAAGCAUGGGGGAGCGAACAGG
rnacentral:rRNA from 1 species